CAGCCUGCAACGUGUGAGUCAUAAGGGGCCAAUCUGUGCCAAGGGUUGACCGCGUGCCUCCAUUAUUGAGCGUGUUCAGGGUCCAAGUUGUUUCGUGUUGAAUUUCCUUUCCUUUCCUAUUUCGAUACAAAUACAACUUUUGCGAUGGAUGUUGUGGUCCAGUCAUUGGGCGCAGUUGUUGCCUUAAUCGCUACUGGUUUGCGCUCUUUCAGUGACUUGUUUUUGACGCAGCCAUCGAGGGCCACUCUCAAACAUUUAGAGGAGACUGACCUCAAACCAUUGACAGGAGAGCGUAAGCCUUUGAAGGCCAAACGUUUAUGGGAGAAGUCUGGAGCUGUUAUCAUGGCAGUAAGGCGGCCUGGAUGAUUUUUGUGCAGAGAGGAGGCCGCUGAGCUGUCCUCUCUGAAGCCCCAGCUGGAGGAGCUCGGGGUCCCUUUGUAUGCUGUAGUGAAGGAGGACAUCGGCACAGAGAUCCAGAACUUCAGACCCUACUUCAAUGGGGAGAUCUUCAUGGAUGAAAAGAGAUGUUUCUAUGGGCCCCGUGAGCGUAAGAUGGGUCUGUUGGCGUUCCUCCGUCUGGGCGUGUGGAUGAAUGGUCUGCGAGCCUUCAAGAACGGCUUCUUAGGGAAUGUGUUUGGAGAAGGCUUUGUGCUGGGUGGGGUGUUCGUCAUUGGAGCAGGCCAGCAGGGUGUACUGCUGGAGCACAGGGAGAUGGAGUUCGGGGAUAAGGUCAACAUUCUGGAUGUCCUGAAAGCUGCCAGAAAAGUACAAACUGAACUUGUGUCUUUGGAGAAGAAGUAAUGUGCCUUUUGCGAGAAACUGAAACGACAAAUUCCACCCAAUUUAGGAGGUAGAAGGGGUGGGUAGAUGCAGUCUUGUUUGUAGUUGCCAUGUUCUCUCUGGGAUCUUUAGGGGCUUGUCUGCUGAUGUGUAGUUGCCGUGUUGUCUGAGUGUGUUUAUGAUGGUCUGUGUCUAAACUCUGUGGAGGGACCAGACUUGAUGCUUUACACAAGUCUCCCCAUUUGGUCGACACACAGCAGGCGGGCUACCUGAAAGACCUCUGUUUGACAAUAAAGAUCUCGUUAUGCAUCA